GAUGAACGCUGGCGGCGUGCUUAACACAUGCAAGUCGAACGGUGAAAGCGGAGCUUGCUCUGCUGGAUCAGUGGCGAACGGGUGAGUAACACGUGAGCAACCUGCCCCGGACUCUGGGAUAACAGUUGGAAACAGCUGCUAAUACCGGAUACGAGCUGCGAAGGCAUCUUCAGCAGCUGGAAAGAACUUCGGUCUGGGAUGGGCUCGCGGCCUAUCAGCUUGUUGGUGAGGUAAUGGCUCACCAAGGCGUCGACGGGUAGCCGGCCUGAGAGGGUGACCGGCCACACUGGGACUGAGACACGGCCCAGACUCCUACGGGAGGCAGCAGUGGGGAAUAUUGCACAAUGGGCGCAAGCCUGAUGCAGCAACGCCGCGUGAGGGAUGACGGCCUUCGGGUUGUAAACCUCUUUUAGUAAGGAAGAAGGGGAGCUUGCUCCUUGACGGUACUUGCAGAAAAAGGACCGGCUAACUACGUGCCAGCAGCCGCUGUAAAAC
rnacentral:rRNA from 1 species